rnacentral:rRNA from 1 species
ACUCCUACGGGAGGCAGCAGUGGGGAAUAUUGCACAAUGGGCGCAAGCCUGAUGCAGCCAUGCCGCGUGUGUGAAGAAGGCCUUCGGGUUGUAAAGCACUUUCAGUCGUGAGGAAGGUAGUGUAGUUAAUAGCUGCAUUAUUUGACGUUAGCGACAGAAGAAGCACCGGCUAACUCCGUGCCAGCAGCCGCGGUAAUACGGAGGGUGCGAGCGUUAAUCGGAAUUACUGGGCGUAAAGCGCAUGCAGGUGGUUUGUUAAGUCAGAUGUGAAAGCCCGGGGCUCAACCUCGGAAUAGCAUUUGAAACUGGCAGACUAGAGUACUGUAGAGGGGGGUAGAAUUUCAGGUGUAGCGGUGAAAUGCGUAGAGAUCUGAAGGAAUACCGGUGGCGAAGGCGGCCCCCUGGACAGAUACUGACACUCAGAUGCGAAAG